rnacentral:rRNA from 1 species
CGGCAACAGCUCAAAUUUAAAAUCUGGCCUCUUCGGGGCCCGAGUUGUAAUUUGUAGAGGAUGUUUCUGGCGACGUGCCUUCCGAGUUCCCUGGAACGGGACGCCAUAGAGGGUGAGAGCCCCGUACGGUUGGAUGCCUAGCCUCUGUGAAACUCCUUCGAC